UACGUAGGGACCAAGCGUUGUUCGGAUUUACUGGGCGUAAAGGGCGCGUAGGCGGCGUGACAAGUCACUUGUGAAAUCUCUGAGCUUAACUCAGAACGGCCAAGUGAAACUGUUGUGCUAGAGUGCAGAAGGGGGCAAUCGGAAAUUCUUGGUGUAGCGGUGAAAUGCGUAGAUAUCGAGAGGAACACCUGCUGCGAAGGCGGGGUUUGCUGGGGCCGACACUGACGCUGAGGCGCGAAAAGCUAGGGGGAGCGAACGGG
rnacentral:rRNA from 1 species